UAUGUGAUCGUCUCUCGCAUAUCAAUAAGCGGAGGAAAAGAAACUAACAAGGAUUCCCCUAGUAACGGCGAGUGAAGCGGGAAGAGCUCAAAUUUGAAAUCUUAAAGGGUUUCCCUUUACGAAUUGUAGUUUAAAGAAGUGUUUUCUGUUGAGGUUUUGGUAAAAGUUCUUUGGAAUAGGACAUCAUAGAGGGUGAGAAUCCCGUAUUUGACCUUUACUUUCAACUUUGUGAUACACUUUCAAAGAGUCGGAUUGUUUGGGAAUGCAGUCCAAAAUGGGUGGUAAAUUUCAUCUAAAGCUAAAUAUUGGCGAGAGACCGAUAGCGAACAAGUACCGUGAGGGAAAGGAUGAAAAGAACUUUGAAAAGAGAGUUAAACAGUACGUGAAAUUGUCAAAAGGGAAGCGUUUGACACCAGUGUUGUUUUUCUGAAAAUCAAUUAAAGAACUGUUUAUGCUAAGUUGUUUAGACUUUAUCAGCUAUCUGCUUAGUUUUGAGCUUUUCUUUAAUGCACUUUUCAGUUAACAAGUCAACAUCAAUUUCUUUUGCUGUAAAAAAGCUUGAGGAAGGUGGCUUGAGAUUCGUCUUAAGUGUUUAUAGCCUCUUGCCUAUGCAGUCGGAGAGAUUGAGGUCUGCAGCGUAGAUCCUUCGGGGCUAAAUGCAUUUGUGCUAAGUUAUAGCAUUUUAUAGACAACUUGUUGACUAUGAUUUGUCUUGUAGCUUACUCGCUUAUGUUAUUUUACCUACGCUUAGGAUGUUGAGUAGCGACAUACGCAC
rnacentral:rRNA from 1 species